AUGAGUGAUGAAAAAAGAACCGAAAUGAAAAUAUCCAAUGAUAAACCCAAUUCUAAUAGCGAAAAUAGUGGGAAAGUGGAGAGUACAAACUCAACUUCUGAAG
rnacentral:snoRNA from 1 species